rnacentral:lncRNA from 1 species
CUGGUCCCUCUGGUCUCCUCAGGGAGUCCAGGGGUGAUGGUGGAACUGAAGUCCUCUCUGGCCACAAACUCCACUGCAGCCAGCCUGGCUGGCUCCAUGGCCUCUCCCUGUUACCUCCGUGGCCUCUCCCUGCUGCCUCCUGUAGCACGCCCCUCCCUCCCCGUGGCCAUGGCUUGCAGACCCCACCACUCCUCCCCCAAGCCCCCCAGCCCUGCACCUGGGCACCUGCUAGUGAACACCCAGACCCAGCCGGUGCCCCAGGAGCCCCUGGGAGAGCUGGCCUCUUAGCAUGGGUGGCCUCCGGGAUGCCCACACUGCCCCUGAGGGGCUGUGGUCCACAGCUCUGCCUCCAGGGCCCUCUUCCUUCACCCUUCCUGAUCAGCUUGCAGGUCCCUUUCCAGAAAGCUGUCAAUACUCACAUCCAUGAGACUGGCCACUGCCUUGGGGCCUCCUGUCUGAUGCUCUGGAGGCUGAAGUCUAUGGUCAGGCCAGCAGGGUGGCCCCAGCAAGGCCCCAUCUUGGCUUUCAGAGGGUACCUUUCUGCUGUGUCCCACAGGAAGGGGAGGGAGCGAGCUGCUGGAGUCUUUUCCUAGGAAGGCUGAUCUCGUCACAUGGGCCCCACCCCCAUGGCCUCGGCUAACCCUCAUCUCCUCCGGAAGCCCAUCUCCUAGGAGCUCCACAUGGGGGCCAGGGCUCCUGCAAAGGACAUGAAAGGACACAGAUGACAGUCUGCAGCACCCUGGGCACCCGGUGGCCCCUGGGGACAGAUGCCACCCUCCCAGGACUUUCCUGUUCUGACUCUGCAGCCCCGUCCUGCUGACAUAGCUCACAGACCUCCCCUCUGCCCCUGUUGCCUACUGUAACCUGAGCCACAGAUGGUGGCAUCCGAGGGCCCACCACUCAUGCUGAGGUCUGUAGUGAGCAGCAACAUCUUGAGCUGUGACAGGGAAGGGGCCACAUAGUCCGUUCAUGUCCCCACUUGGACCUGGUGACUCUCACAUCCAAGUGAGGACAACUCAGGCUGGCAGUUGUAGGCAGCCUGUGUGACUCCAGCCUGAGCCCUGUGCCCUUCUCCUGGGGAGGAUCCCUUUGCCCCUGUCAUCAGGGUGCCUGAGCACGCCCCGUGGUGGCCACAGCACAGGGUGCUCAGGCCAGCCCUGCACCACCAUCAGCCCCAGUGACACCAGCAUCCUUGGGGAGAAACCUAAACACCCAGUAGGGAAGUUCCUGUGACUGAAGGGCAUCCUGGCCUGGGCAGGGGGCACAGUCCAGCUGCCUGCCUGUGCCCUCUUGGAGGACACACUGUCCCUCAUGGCAACUCCUGUCAGGACACAGAAACUCAAGUUCACAGAUGCAAAGACCAGGGCUAGGGGUGGCUGCUGGGGCCUGGUCUGUCCAUGUCCAGCAGGGCCACUGCACUGCAUGCUGCGAGGGGACUUCCUGUGGCUGAAGCACACGUCUGUGUGUCUGCAAUGGAAGAGGUCUUCGCUCCAGCCCCGCCUGAUCCCCCCACCGGAACCCCCAAUAGACCUGCGGCUCCC